CAUUAGAGAAUAACACGGCGGGGAAGCCGUUUCUCUCACCCUUUUGUUUAUUCCACUCUGUUGCUUUGGCGGCGCCGGCUCCGGCCGGGCAAGUCCGUCAAGGGCCCAACUCCUGAAUCGCUGCUGUCUGAGUACUAUACAAUAGUCAAAACUUUCAACAACGGAUCUCUUGGUUCUGGCAUCGAUGAAGAACGCAGCGAAAUGCGAUAAGUAAUGUGAAUUGCAGAAUUCAGUGAAUCAUCGAAUCUUUGAACGCACAUUGCGCCCUCUGGUAUUCCGGGGGGCAUGCCUGUUCGAGCGUCAUUGCAACCCUCAAGCGCUGCUUGGUGUUGGGCUCGCCCGCUGGGCCUGCCUCAAAAUCAGUGGCGGCCCCGUCUGACCCUAAGCGUAGUACUACUCGCCGCUUGUUGGAGUCGGGCGGCAGCCUGUCAGCAACCCCCACCUCUAUAGGUUG
rnacentral:rRNA from 1 species